rnacentral:rRNA from 1 species
UAACACUGAGAGAUGAUGACGAGGCUCUACGGAGCUGAAGUAACCGAUACCACACUUCCAGGAAAAGCCACUAAGCUUCAGGUUUAUCUAAACCGUACUGAAAACCGACACAGGUGGUCAGGUAGAGAAUACUCAGGCGCUUGAGAGAACUCGGGUGAAGGAACUAGGCAAAAUAGCACCGUAACUUCGGGAGAAGGUGCGCCGGCGUAGAUUGUAAGGGCUUGCCCCUGAAGGUUGAACCGGUCGAAGAUACCAGCUGGCUGCAACUGUUUAUUAAAAACACAGCACUCUGCAAACACGAAAGUGGACGUAUAGGGUGUGAUGCCUGCCCGGUGCUGGAAGGUUAAUUGAUGGUGUAAUCGAAAGAGAAGCUCCUGAUCGAAGCCCCAGUAAACGGCGGCCGUAACUAUAACGGUCCUAAGGUAGCGAAAUUCCUUGUCGGGUAAGUUCCGACCUGCACGAAUGGCAUAAUGAUGGCCAGGCUGUCUCCACCCGAGACUCAGUGAAAUUGAAAUCGCCGUGAAGAUGCGGUGUACCCGCGGCUAGACGGAAAGACCCCGUGAACCUUUACUAUAGCUUGACACUGAACAUUGAAUUUUGAUGUGUAGGAUAGGUGGGAGACUUAGAAGUAGUCACGCCAGUGAUUAUGGAGUCGUCCUUGAAAUACCACCCUUUAACGUUUGAUGUUCUAACGAAGAUUACGAAACGUGGUCUCGGACAGUGUCUGGUGGGUAGUUUGACUGGGGCGGUCUCCUCCCAAAGAGUAACGGAGGAGCACGAAGGUUUGCUAAUGACGGUCGGACAUCGUCAGGUUAGUGCAAUGGUAUAAGCAAGCUUAACUGCGAGACAGACAAGUCGAGCAGGUACGAAAGUAGGUCAUAGUGAUCCGGUGGUUCUGAAUGGAAGGGCCAUCGCUCAACGGAUAAAAGGUACUCCGGGGAUAACAGGCUGAUACCGCCCAAGAGUUCAUAUCGACGGCGGUGUUUGGCACCUCGAUGUCGGCUCAUCACAUCCUGGGGCUGAAGUAGGUCCCAAGGGUAUGGCUGUUCGCCAUUUAAAGUGGUACGCGAGCUGGGUUUAGAACGUCGUGAGACAGUUCGGUCCCUAUCUGCCGUGGGCGUUGGAGAAUUGAAAGGGGCUGCUCCUAGUACGAGAGGACCGGAGUGGACGCACCACUGGUGUUCCGGUUGUGUCGCCAGACGCAUUGCCGGGUAGCUAAGUGCGGAAGAGAUAAGUGCUGAAAGCAUCUAAGCACGAAACUUGCCUUGAGAUGAGUUCUCCCUGUCUUUAAGACAGUAAGGGUUGUUUAAGACUAAGACGUAGAUAGGUCUGGUGUGUAAGCGGUGCGAGCCGUUGAGCUAACAGAUACUAAUUGCCCGAGAGGCUUAACUAU